UUUUUCUCGUGCGCGCCAUUUGUAUUAUGGUCUUUAGUCAAACUGCACAAUGAUUUUCCUGUAUUAUAAAGUACAUUAUAGAUCAGUCAAUGCUGUGUCAGUACGCUAGUCUGUUUGUCUGUCUGUUAUUUGGAGACGUUCUGACAUACCAGUGUUUCCCUAUCUGGGAUUCUCCUAAUGUAGUCUCAAACGAUCAUAAUUCAAGCAAAGGGCUCUCAAGAUGGUUACACGAGGAAUAUGUUUUGGUUCCUGCUGACAAAGCUUG